rnacentral:rRNA from 1 species
CACGGAGUUAGCCGAUGCUUAUUCCUCAGGUACCGUCAAAAUUCUUCCCUGAGAAAAGAGGUUUACAAUCCAAGAACCUUCCUCCCUCACGCGGUAUUGCUCCGUCAGGCUUUCGCCCAUUGCGGAAAAUUCC